CCCUCCCUUUCCCCCUCUCCUUCUCCUCAUCCCUCCCUUUACCCCUCUCCUACUCCACCACCAGCAAAACCAAAAUCCCAGAUUGGAGUCUGGAAAACUCAAACAUUCCCAGCUGGAGUGAGUCUAUACCAGGGGUCAUCAACUAAAUUCAGCCGAGGGAUGAUUUCUUUCUUGAGUGGAUGGUCAGGGGGCCGGAACUUAAUUACAAAUCAUUUGUAGACUACAAAUUGACCUCGAGAAGCCCAAACAGAUGUGAUAUUAGACUAAAACGUAAUAAUUUCAAACCUUGCUUACAUUUAUAUAUGAUCACAUACACUGAGUAUACAAAACAUUAAGGACACCUGCUCUUUCCAUGACACAGACUGACCAGGUGAAUCCAAGUGAAAGCUAUGAUCCCUUAUUGAUUUUAAAUCCACUUCAAUCAGUGUAGAUGAAAUGGAGGAGACAGGUUAAAAAAUGAUUUUUAAGUCUUGAGACAAUUGAGACAUGGAUUGUGUAUGUGUGUCUUUCAGAGGCUUAAUGGGCAAGCCAAAACAUGGAAGUGCCUUUGAACGGGGUUUGGUAGUAGGUGCCAGGCGCACUGGUUUGUGUCAAGAACUGCAACGUUGCUGGGUAUUUCACACUCCCAAAGGACAUCCAGCCAACUUGACACAACUGUGGGAAGCAUUGGAGUCAACAUGGACCAGCAUCCCUGUGGAACGCUUUCAACACCAUGUAGGGUCCAUGCCCUGACGAAUAAGGCUUUUCUGAGGGCAAAAGGGCAAAUCAAUAUUAGGAAGGUGUUCUUAAUGUUUGGUAUACCCAGUGUUUAUCUCUCUAUUAUGCGUGGGAAUACUUUGGAACAGAUUUUAAAAAUUAAAAUCACUUGGAGCUGAUUUGCUGGUGUUUUUACAGUCUUUUAUGUCCAACAACAACAAAAAGUUAGCCGCCAGUUGGGGAACCCUGGUGUGCGCACACACACACGCACACACACACACACACACACACACACACACACACACACACACACACACACACACACACACACACACACACACACACACACACACACACACACACACACACACACACACACACACACACACACACACACACACACAGAGAGAGAGAGAGCUGGCAGGGCAGACACAUUUGAUUAGAAAAAGUGAAGAAAAAAAGAUGGGAAUAAAUCUUCCUGGGAGACGGCUAAAUAGUAAACACGUCAAAACGAUCUAUCUUCCCACAGUCUGACACUUUGGAUAAGAGUUUAUUAAAGAUGUAUUCUCUAUUAAAGGUGCAGCUCUCUCUAAUGAAGACAUUAUUGGACAGAAUAACAGUCUUGGACUUCACACCUCUUUUUUUGUCCCUGGAUUCGUGUUGGCCCGUGUCGACUCAUUUCCACUGAAAUAACAAUCUGUAACAGUUUAACAUUACAAUUAGCUAAUGAAAUUGCGCCUGCCCCAGUGCCAGAUGGGUGGUGUUUGCAGUUUUGGGACUAUUCCAUUGGUUCCAUUGUGUCAGAAAGGCUCCCAAUAGGUAGGUAGCUAACAUUCAGUCAGCUAGUCUCCCAGUAGGUAGGUAGCUAACAUUCAGUCAGCUAGUCUCCCAGUAGGUAGGUAGCUAACAUUCAGUCAGCUAGUCUCCCCGUAGGUAGGUAGCUAACAUUCAGUCAGCUAGUCUCCCCGUAGGUAGGUAGCUAACAUUCAGUCAGCUAGUCUCCCAGUAGGUAGGUAGCUAACAUUCAGUCAGCUAGUCUCCCCGUUGGUAGGUAGCUAACAUUCAGUCAGCUAGUCUCCCUGUAGGUAGGUAGCUAACAUUCAGUCAGCUCGUCUCCCCGUAGGUAGGUAGCUAACAUUCAGUCAGCUAGUCUCCCCGUUGGUAGGUAGCUAACAUUCAGUCAGCUAGUCUCCCAGUAGGUAGGUAGCUAACAUUCAGUCAGCUAGUCUCCCAGUAGGUAGGUAGCUAACAUUCAGUCAGCUAGUCUCCCAGUAGGUAAGUAGCUAACAUUCAGUCAGCUAGUCUCCCAGUAGGUAGGUAGCUAACAGUCAGUCAGCUAGUCUCCCCGUAGGUAGGUAGCUAACAUUCAGUCAGCUAGUCUCCCAGUAGGUAGGUAGCUAACAUUCAGUCAGCUAGUCUCCCAGUAGGUAAGUAGCUAACAUUCAGUCAGCUAGUCUCCCAGUAGGUAGGUAGCUAACAUUCAGUCAGCUAGUCUCCCCGUAGGUAGGUAGGUAACAUUCUGUCAGCUAGUCUCCUCCACUCAUGCCGCCACAGCUCAGCAGAGGGGAUAAGGAGCAGUGGUGUCUGCCAUCAAAGGACCUGUCACCACCACAGCUAAUGGAGCAGCACACACUCUCUCUCUCACAGCUGUGUCAUACCACAUUCAUAGGGGUAUUUUGAGUUAGGGGGAAAACACACAGAGAGAGAGUGGAGGAGGUGGAGGAAAAAGGAGGGGGAGAAAGUGGGAAUGAGGUAGAAAGGGAGAGAGAAUCUGAGAGGGAGCGAGAGUAUGUAGGGGGGAUGGAUAGAGU